rnacentral:lncRNA from 1 species
GCCUCAUGGUAUAAGCACCCCUGACCUGACAAAUUCAAGUUCAGAGUGAAUGAGCAGGAGAAUGGUAGAUGAAGAAGUGAGCAGGGCGAUCAGAGUCUGUUUGGAGCCUCUUUGGAAGAGGAAGUCAGAUUAGAUAAAGACUCAAGGGAGAAGCCUUGAUAACAGAAUGAGAACUCCUGAGAACAGAUACCAGAGAGCUUCUUCUCCCUGCCCUGUGAUAACACCGUGUGACCAGGAAAACCACAUACCACCAUGAGGACCCUCACCAGAACCCGACUAUUUGACACCCUUAUCUUACUCUUAGAGGCUCCAGGACUGUAAGAAAACACACUUCUUUAUUUAAACCACUCAAGUCUGGCUAUUUUCAAUGCUAGCUAAGAUGGCUAAUACAGGCUACAAGAAAACACGGGAGACAAGGCUGCCAGGGGCUUGAGUGGCUCCAAGGUGGCCCUUAAAUUCAGCGAGGAUGGAGACAAUAGGUGGAGGGAGUUCCAGAUGGGAAACUCAGCAGCUCAAAUCUGGACACA